rnacentral:rRNA from 1 species
AUGCAUAGCAGGGAAUAUCUUACGGAACAUAAACGCAAGGGUGAGGCAUAUUUGAAGGAAAGGGAUGCAAGGAUUGUGGAAUGCAAGGCUGCGGAGCGGGAGCAUCUUAAAGACAGACAAAGCUUGGCUCGUAGCCUUGUAUACCCUAGUACAUCUAAUGCGCAACCGACACAAAAUGCACGAGGUGCUGAUGAUCGCAGCGACUCAGAGUAUGAACCAGAUGCUGAAGAGGAGGCCCAUGGAGAGGAAGAGGAUUUGAUAGAUGAAGAGGAGGUCAAUGUUGCUAAGUCCAAAAUGAUGGCACCUGAAGGUUCUACCAUGCCCAAAAAACCCAUGUUAGAUCCAAAAAUAGGGCAGCUGCUACCUCAAGAAUAA